GCGGUCGUCGUCUAGCUGGUUAGGACGCCAGCUCCCCAAGCUGGCGAUCCCGGGUUCAAAUCCCGGCGGCCGCA
rnacentral:tRNA from 1 species